rnacentral:lncRNA from 1 species
UAUUCUCUCGUUUAGGCCAUAUUUGUUUGUGUUACGACAAACGCACAAACGGAAACGAAAUGACGAACACAAAAAACAAUCAAACCACAAGCAAAAAAUAAAGAGACACAGAUUUACGUGAAAAACCCUUUACAGGGAAAAAACCACGGGCGAGGGAGGAGAGAGCUUCACUAUGGAACGAAAAGGGAAUACAAUGUUCUUCUGAUUACAACCGACCACGAUCAUACGCCUCUACGGGCAGCCCGAGCCCUCCGCUACCCACCACAGACAUUCAUUUUUCCUCCAUAAUUUUCUUUUCCAAAUUGGUCGCACCGCGAAGCUGUCGGCGAGUCGUAAACCCGAACGUGAAAACGAUAGUAGAUUUCGAGUCACAUCUGACAGUUUGAAUGUCAGAAUUUUCUUAUAUGAUUAGUUAAAAAUAAGGAGAUUGAUUUUUGUCGCUUGAAUUAAAAGUUCUGGUAUUCAUGUUUUGGUACCUACAAAAGUAAGUAAUUUAUCUAUUCUGAAAAAAUAAAUUAAAUAUUUAGAGGGGAAAUCCAAAUUUUCUCUUCUUUCCUUACGAUUUCCUUCACUAUACUUUCUCCUCUAAUUAGAUUUCUCCUCUUUCCUUCUCAAAUUUCAAUAUAAAAUUGGAAAUUAAGCCAUCACCUCUCAUGCAAAGGUGAAAUUUUAAUCCCACAAUGGAAAUGAAAUUAAAAUCACAUCUAUUUAUAUUUUGGAGUGCGGCUUAGCUGAACUAUGUAUCAUUUUGAAUCGGCUACUAAAUCUUUCAAAAUUUUGAUUUUACUAUAGAAUAUUUUAAUUUGUUUGAUUAGAAUCAGUCGAUAGUACUUGACUAGAAGUUUAAGCUAAUAACUUUUAUAAGUUUAUAGUUGCGGGAUUCUAUGAAGUAUUCUAACUAAAUUCGUAAAAAUAAACAAUGUAUUAAAAUUUUAAAAUUAAAGCACUAUCGAUUGACUCAAAUAAAUUAAAUUUUUUUGAAAGGUUGAGUAGCUAAUUUAAAAUGCUUCAUAGUUCAAGUAAGUUUUAUACAUUUUUCUUAUCUUUAUUUUGUAAAUAAAAUUUUAUAUAUAAAAAUGUGCAGG